UACGGGGGGGGGGCAAGCGUUGUUCGGAAUUACUGGGCGUAAAGGGCUCGUAGGCGGCCAACUAAGUCGGAUGUGAAAUCCCCCAGGCUUAACCUGGGAACUGCAUCCGAUACUGGAUGGCUUGAAUUCGGGAGAGGGAUGCAGAAUUCCAGGUGUAGCGGUGAAAAUGCGUAGAUAUCUGGAGGAAUACCGGUGGCGAAGGCGGCAUCCUGGACCGACAUUGACGCUGAGGAGCGAAAGCUAGGGGAGCAAACGGG
rnacentral:rRNA from 1 species